AUUGAACGCUGGCGGCAGGCCUAACACAUGCAAGUCGAGCGGAUGAAGGGAGCUUGCUCCUGGAUUCAGCGGCGGACGGGUGAGUAAUGCCUAGGAAUCUGCCUGGUAGUGGGGGAUAACGUCCGGAAACGGGCGCUAAUACCGCAUACGUCCUGAGGGAGAAAGUGGGGGAUCUUCGGACCUCACGCUAUCAGAUGAGCCUAGGUCGGAUUAGCUAGUUGGUGGGGUAAAGGCCUACCAAGGCGACGAUCCGUAACUGGUCUGAGAGGAUGAUCAGUCACACUGGAACUGAGACACGGUCCAGGCUCCUACGGGAGGCAGCAGUGGGGAAUAUUGGACGAUGGGCGAAAGCCUGUUCCAGCCAUGCCGCGUGUGUGAAGAAGGUCUUCGGAUUGUAAAGCACUUUAAGUUGGGAGGAAGGGCAGUAAGUUAAUACCUUGCUGUUUUGACGUUCCCAACAGAAUAAGCACCGGCUAACUUCGUG
rnacentral:rRNA from 1 species